rnacentral:rRNA from 1 species
CCGGCCAACCCUAUGGGAGGCAGCCGUCGAAGGUGGGUUGAAUGAUUGGGGUGAAGUCGUAACAAGGUAGCCGUAUCGGAAGGUGCGGCUGGAUCACCUCCUUUCUAAGGA